AUUGAACGCUGGCGGCAGGCCUAACACAUGCAAGUCGAACGAGUGGCGGACGGGUGAGUACUGUCUGGGAAACUGCCUGAUGGAGGGGGAUAACUACUGGAAACGGUAGCUAAUACCGCAUACCAUCAGAUGUGCCCAGAUGGGAUUAGCUAGUUGGUGGGGUAACGGCUCACCAAGGCAACGAUCCCUAUCUGGUCUGAGAGGAUGACCAGCCGCCCUGGAACUGAGACACUGUCCAAACUCGUACGGGAGGCAGCAGUGGGGAAAAUUGCACAAAGGGCGCAAGCCUGAUGCAGCCAGGCCGCGUGUAUGAAGAAGGCCUUCGGGUUGUAAAGUACUUUCAGCGGGAAGGCGUUACCCGCAGAAGAAGCACCGGCUAACACCGUGCCAGCAGCCGCGGUAAUUC
rnacentral:rRNA from 1 species